rnacentral:rRNA from 1 species
GCAUAUCAAUAAGCGGAGGAAAAGAAACCAACAGGGAUUGCCCUAGUAACGGCGAGUGAAGCGGCAACAGCUCAAAUUUGAAAUCUGGCUCUUUCAGAGUCCGAGUUGUAAUUUGCAGAGGGCGCUUUGGCGUUGGCAGCGGUCCAAGUUCCUUGGAACAGGACGUCACAGAGGGUGAGAAUCCCGUACGUGGUCGCUAACCUUCGCCGUGUAAAGCCCCUUCGACGAGUCGAGUUGUUUGGGAAUGCAGCUCUAAAUGGGAGGUAAAUUUCUUCUAAAGCUAAAUACUGGCCAGAGACCGAUAGCGCACAAGUAGAGUGAUCGAAAGAUGAAAAGCACUUUGGAAAGAGAGUCAAAUAGCACGUGAAAUUGUUGAAAGGGAAGCGCUUGCAGCCAGACUUGCCUGUAGUUGCUCAUCCGGGCUUUUGCCCGGUGCACUCUUCUGCGGGCAGGCCAGCAUCAGUUUGGGCGGUUGGAUAAAGAUCUCUAUCACGUACCUCUCUUCGGGGAGGCCUUAUAGGGGAGAUGUCAUACAACCAGCCUGGACUGAGGUCCGCGCAUCUGCUAGGAUGCUGGCGUAAUGGCUGUAAGCGGCCCGUCUUGAAACACGGACC